UAUCUUUUGCGGCAGAAAUUGAA
rnacentral:sRNA from 1 species